GAGAAAAGGAGGAGCCCCAGAGGAGAUCGGCUCGGUUAUCGGCGAAACCGGCCCCUCCCAAGCCAGAACCAAAGGUGAAGAAGGCAGCAAAG